rnacentral:lncRNA from 1 species
GCUCUGCCUCCGACCUACGGAGGGAUCACGCGGCAGUGGAGGGCAGAUAAAAAGCCCUUUGGACGAGGGUCGCCUCCGUCCUUGUUGUUCACUUGGGAGCAGUGGAGAGGAAAACGGUCCCCACGGGCGGACUUUGGCUUCUGGAGCCGCGGGGCUCAUCCGUCCAGGCCUCCCGGAGCCUCUGCUGGGUAUAGGGGGAGGGGCAGCGGGGGAGGGGACUGGGAGAAGGGAUCUGGGGACGGGGGGCUGGAAGCGCUAAGGAGACCUGCUGGGAGGAUUUGCGUCAGCAGGUCCAAGAGAGACUUGGGAGCGCUGAGUGCAGGAGGUGGAUCUCGGCCUAGUUUGCUUGCAGAAAUAGAACUGUAUUUCGAGGAAAUCAAUCAAUCUGCAGGAAACAAAAAUGGAAGUCGAGGUUUGGGAAGAGUUGUCACUUCCCCGACUCGAGUGGUGCGGGCCGGGGGCGGAGACUUGGGGCCGCGGAGAGGCCCUUUCUCCCACCUCAGCUCGUUCCCAGGACUUCCAGAAGGGAGAAGUACCCUCCUCACCCCUCUUCUUCCCCACACCCGUCCUCGCUCGCCCGCCGGCCCCUUUCCGCACCUCCUUCUCCCCUCAAGUGAGAAAAGCCUAGUUCCCGAGCCGGUGUACGCGGUUGCCUUACCCCUCCCCGCUCCCACGCGGGUGCCCCCUCCAGCCAUCGCUACUGCCACCACCUCGGUUCCACUCAAUCGAUUUUUGCUGCAUGUCAACACUUAUUCCCGAAAAUGGCCCGCUGAUGAUGUGACCCAGUGUACCAGGACUAAGGCUUGGGGUGGUUUCCUUAGAAUUCCAAGACUCCUUCUACCAAUGCCUCCUCUGACCAGAAGCAGCAAAGUCUUUCUGCCUCCAUCAACAGUUUGCAGCGGCACUGGACCCCCUGCACGCAGUCCUGGGCUGGAUCCUUUAUCCUUGUCCCUCUGGGGAGAUGAGACCAAGAGCCGCUUCCACUGUCCCGGAGAAGACAGUGGAGCAGAUACGGAAUGUGACUUGGAACCCCGGUUAGUGGCAAGCCGGUUCUUGGGCUCUUUCCUCCGUUCUACUACUGUCAACAGCCCCCUCAACUCUGCUUCCCUAGGCGGGUAUCUGGGUGAAGUUCCUGCACAUCGUUCUCGGUCCUCCCGGAUGAACUGGCAGGGCCUUCCCUAAUGUCACUUUACGAGGCCGCCUGCGCUGGGUUGAAGGAGAGUCUCCCCUGACUGACUCGUCCCGCUGCGUGCAGGCGCAGGAGGGGGGAGAGCCGAUGGGGACGACCCUGCAGGCCGUCCUGAGCGCCACAGACGGGGAUUUACCUGCCGAGUCCAAGGCGACAGACAACAGGUCACUUUGUUAGAGAAUAAGAUAAUAUCAAACAAAAGAAAGUAAAAUAAAACCCUUCUUAUGAGGGC